ensembl:lncRNA
UAGCUGGUCAAUAUCUUAUUCACAAUGGGGGCAGGAUGAAUACUUGCACACGGCUUGCUUCUCACUGAGGCCAUGCCAUGUGCCUGAGAAUGAAUGAAGCCUCUUCAGUAAUGGCUCCAUCACCCCCUCCUCCCUCCCUUCCUCACACACGUCCUCCAACUACUCCCUAUACUCCUCCUACACUCCCUCAGAACCACACAUUCAAGAGCCUUGCCCAUUGCAAGCCUCCUUCUGCUCUGUGCUCUUCUUGGGGGUGCUCUUCUUUCUCUGAUGCUCCUGCAGGAAGCCCACCGAGUCCGGGGGAGGGGCAUCGCUGCUGUAUGCUGGUGUGGUUGCACUUAGUCUGGUAGAUGUUAGAAGCUUCAUGCGGGCUUUCCGGUCAUUUACCUGAAGAUGGUAUUCUGAGCCUUGAGACGGGGAUGGGGGUGGGGGGCCACCUGUAAAGAAACUAGGCCACUGUUACUUAGACUUCCCCAAUCUGGGAUGUCACAAAGUCUAUAUGAGAUCAGCAGCCAAACCUACAGCAGAAGGACCGAGCAGUGAGACUCAGGAUGACUUCCUUCAACAUUUAGUCAGACUGAUUUUCUGGAUCCAAGCCUCACAAUCUACUAAAUUUGGGCAAAUUGUUGCACUUCUCCUGGUCGUAAAAAUCUUCUGUUAGUUAAAGCCAGAAGGACAGGGACUUAUUGGCAAUCCUGUUAUUUUACUAAUGAGGAAACUAAGUGCCGAGUUGGACUUUACUUCCUUGCAGGCUCAGAGCUUCAGGAAAUUUCUCAAGGAUGCAUAAAUACUGAACAGCAGAGCUAGGAAUUAAGCCCACAUCUACUUAAUUUUAGUACUUGUUCACAAUGUCUCCUGCUGUAUUUGCUGCCAUGGUAGGGAGAGACAAGGAGAUGAAUCACAUCUCUUAGGUGGGUGACACCCUUAGGAGGGUGACAUAUUUUACUUAAUGUUUACUAUGAACAGAGAGAUGAACAAAAGACUUGAUUAUCAAAGCCCAGAGGAGGCUAACUCGAGUCGGUCGUGGGGAUGGAGAAGAAGGGAUGAGUUAUAAAAUACUGGGGGGACUGAUGAGAUGUGGAGGGCCAUGAAGGGAAAGUGUGAAUCCUAGACUUCUGCCCUGAGUGAAUGACUGCUAGGAGGAUAGCGGAACAGGAGCUAUAUUUGGACAGGAAGUAUUGGUUUUAGUUUUGCACAGAUUGAGAUGUCUACUGGACAGAUCCAAUGUCCACUUAGAUGCCCAGAGGACAAAUUCGAUACAGAGGAGAGAGCUGAAGCAGACUGAGAGAAGAGAAGAAAACUCAGGAAACAGGGGAGUUGCAAAGUAACGGGAAGGAGUUCAAAGAUGGAGCUGCCAAACUUGGGGUAGUCAUAACACUUAUCUGGAACCUGCUAAGAGUCAGGCACUGUGCGAGCACUUGAGGAGCCUCACCUUGUUUUUCAGUCCUCACCUUUCCUGACCCCGUGGAGCACUUGACGAUUAGGUUCCUGUGGAGACAGAGCAGUGGGUGUGGUCAGGAGUGCAAUGGGUAGAAGAGAGGCAGGAGGUGAGGCAGUGGAGGGCGAGGCUGGAUUGAACAGAGGAAGGCACCUUACACUCUCGGAGUACCAAGCCAAGAUAAGGGCUUCUGCCUGGAACAGUGCCUGGGAUGUGUCAGCAGCAAAUGUCAGUGCUCUGGUUGAAGCCGCUGCUUGAAUCCAUGUUUUUCCACAUCGUGUUUUCUUCCAUGGCCAGUGAAAAGAAAAACCUCUUUUGGUGCAGGCCCAAGACCACCAUAAUCAUCAUUGAUUUUUCCUCUCUGCCUCAGGUCUCUAAAUAAAGUUCCUCUCCUUUCACUGACAAA